UCGCCUCUCUCUUUUCCCCUGAAAACCCUAUCGCCUGCCGAGUCUUUGGUCUUCAAUUGAAAAUGAACCGUCGCCUUCCAACGGUUUCACUCGCCCCUCUACUCUUUAAUAUCUAUACCGAUUAGAGAAAAAGACGAGUUGGAGAGAGAGAGAUGGAGCUACAGAUGCAGAAAGAGAGAAUAUGAGGGAUCCGAUCGGUGGUUCCGACGACCGGUCUACAGCGUCACAGCCACCACCAUGACAACAUCAGCGACAUACAGAGUAGUCUUUCGUUACCACGCUUGGUUUCAAACCCUAAUUUUUCUUUUCAUCAUAUGAUCUGUUUAUUUUGGGUUUCUUUUACGCCGACAGAGUUGGUAUAGGGCUCCAAUGGAGUUCCAGUCGACAACCCUAAGUGUUUGUUUGAUAGAUGAAUUAAAACAUGAUGGUAUAAUCUCUUGUGAAUAUAUCCAUAUCUACAACGUCAACGAGUGAAUUAAUGGAGGAAGUAAGAGAUCUCUGCAAUUUCUUAC
rnacentral:lncRNA from 1 species